UACGUAGGGGCAAGCGUUGUCCGGAAUCAUUGGGCGUAAAGAGCGCGUAGGCGGUCCGGUAAGUCUGCCGUGAAAGCCAGGGGCUCAACCCUUGGAUGCCGGUGGAUACUGUCGGGCUAGAGUCCGGAAGAGGCGAGUGGAAUUCCCGGUGUAGCGGUGAAAUGCGCAGAUAUCGGGAGGAACACCGGUGGCGAAGGCGGAUCUCUGGGGCCUGUCCUGACGCUCAGGCGCG
rnacentral:rRNA from 1 species